rnacentral:rRNA from 1 species
UAGGGAAUAUUGGACAAUGGGGGCAACCCUGAUCCAGCCAUGCCGCGUGAGUGAAGAAGGCCCUCGGGUUGUAAAGCUCUUUUGUCCGGAAAGAAAAGCUUCGGGUUAAUACCCCGGGGUUCUGACGGUACCGGAAGAAUAAGCACCGGCUAACUUCGUGCCAGCAGCCGCGGUAAUACGAAGGGUGCAAGCGUUACUCGGAAUUACUGGGCGUAAAGCGUGCGUAGGUGGUUGUUUAAGUCUGAUGUGAAAGCCCUGGGCUCAACCUGGGAAUGGCAUUGGAAACUGGGCAGCUAGAGUGCGGUAGAGGGUAGUGGAAUUCCCGGUGUAGCAGUGAAACGCGUAGAGAUCGGGAGGAACAUCUGUGGCGAAGGCGACUGCCUGGACCAGCACUGACACUGAGGCACGAAAGCGUGGGGAGCAAACA